UUGAACGCUGGCGGCAGGCCUAACACAUGCAAGUCGAACGGUAACAGGAAGAAGCUUGCUUCUUUGCUGACGAGUGGCGGACGGGUGAGUAAUGUCUGGGAAACUGCCUGAUGGAGGGGGAUAACUACUGGAAACGGUAGCUAAUACCGCAUAACGUCGCAAGACCAAAGAGGGGGACCUUCGGGCCUCUUGCCAUCGGAUGUGCCCAGAUGGGAUUAGCUAGUAGGUGGGGUAACGGCUCACCUAGGCGACGAUCCCUAGCUGGUCUGAGAGGAUGACCAGCCACACUGGAACUGAGACACGGUCCAGACUCCUACGGGAGGCAGCAGUGGGGAAUAUUGCACAAUGGGCGCAAGCCUGAUGCAGCCAUGCCGCGUGUAUGAAGAAGGCCUUCGGGUUGUAAAGUACUUUCAGCGGGGAGGAAGGGAGUAAAGUUAAUACCUUUGCUCAUUGACGUUACCCGCAGAAGAAGCACCGGCUAACUCCGUGCCAGCAGCCGCGGUAAUACGGAGGGUGCAAGCGUUAAUCGGAAUUACUGGGCGUAAAGCGCACGCAGGCGGUUUGUUAAGUCAGAUGUGAAAUCCCCGGGCUCAACCUGGGAACUGCAUCUGAUACUGGCAAGCUUGAGUCUCGUAGAGGGGGGUAGAAUUCCAGGUGUAGCGGUGAAAUGCGUAGAGAUCUGGAGGAAUACCGGUGGCGAAGGCGGCCCCCUGGACGAAGACUGACGCUCAGGUGCGAAAGCGUGGGGAGCAAACAGGAUUAGAUACCCUGGUAGUCCACGCCGUAAACGAUGUCGACUUGGAGGUUGUGCCCUUGAGGCGUGGCUUCCGGAGCUAACGCGUUAAGUCGACCGCCUGGGGAGUACGGCCGCAAGGUUAAAACUCAAAUGAAUUGACGGGGGCCCGCACAAGCGGUGGAGCAUGUGGUAUAAUUCGAUGCAACGCGAAGAACCUUACCUGGUCUUGACAUCCACGGAAGUUUUCAGAGAUGAGAAUGUGCCUUCGGGAACCGUGAGACAGGUGCUGCAUGGCUGUCGUCAGCUCGUGUUGUGAAAUGUUGGGUUAAGUCCCGCAACGAGCGCAACCCUUAUCCUUUGUUGCCAGCGGUCCGGCCGGGAACUCAAAGGAGACUGCCAGUGAUAAACUGGAGGAAGGUGAGGAUGACGUCAAGUCAUCAUGGCCCUUACGACCAGGGCUACACACGUGCUACAAUGGCGCAUACAAAGAGAAGCGACCUCGCGAGAGCAAGCGGACCUCAUAAAGUGCGUCGUAGUCCGGAUUGGAGUCUGCAACUCGACUCCAUGAAGUCGGAAUCGCUAGUAAUCGUGGAUCAGAAUGCCACGGUGAAUACGUUCCCGGGCCUUGUACACACCGCCCGUCACACCAUGGGAGUGGGUUGCAAAAGAAGUAGGUAGCUUAACCUUCGGGAGGGCGCUUACCACUUUGUGAUUCAUGACUGGGGUG
rnacentral:rRNA from 1 species